rnacentral:rRNA from 1 species
GUGGGGAAUAUUGGACAAUGGGCGAAAGCCUGAUCCAGCCAUGCCGCGUGUGUGAAGAAGGCCUUUUGGUUGUAAAGCACUUUAAGCGAGGAGGAGGCUACCGAGAUUAAUACUCUUGGAUAGUGGACGUUACUCGCAGAAUAAGCACCGGCUAACUCUGUGCCAGCAGCCGCGGUAAUACAGAGGGUGCGAGCGUUAAUCGGAUUUACUGGGCGUAAAGCGUGCGUAGGCGGCUUUUUAAGUCGGAUGUGAAAUCCCUGAGCUUAACUUAGGAAUUGCAUUCGAUACUGGGAAGCUAGAGUAUGGGAGAGGAUGGUAGAAUUCCAGGUGUAGCGGUGAAAUGCGUAGAGAUCUGGAGGAAUACCGAUGGCGAAGGCAGCCAUCUGGCCUAAUACUGACGCUGAGGUACGAAAGCAUGGGGAGCAAACAGGAUUAGAUACCCUGGUAGUCC